rnacentral:rRNA from 1 species
GAUGAACGCUGGCGGCGUGCCUAAUACAUGCAAGUCGAGCGAACGGACGAGAAGCUUGCUUCUCUGAUGUUAGCGGCGGACGGGUGAGUAACACGUGGAUAACCUACCUAUAAGACUGGGAUAGCUUCGGGAAACCGGAGCUAAUACCGGAUAAUAUUUUGAACCGCAUGGUUCAAAAGUGAAAGGCGGUCUUGCUGUCACUUAUAGAUGGAUCCGCGCUGCAUUAGCUAGUUGGUAAGGUAACGGCUUACCAAGGCAACGAUGCAUAGCCGACCUGAGAGGGUGAUCGGCCACACUGGAACUGAGACACGGUCCAGACUCCUACGGGAGGCAGCAGUAGGGAAUCUUCCGCAAAGGGCGAAAGCCUGACGGAGCAACGCCGCGUGAGUGAUGAAGGUCUUCGGAUCGUAAAACUCUGUUAUUAGGGAAGAACAUAUGUGUAAGUAACUGUGCACAUCUUGACGGUACCUAAUCAGAAAGCCACGGCUAACUACGUG